rnacentral:rRNA from 1 species
GACGAACGCUGGCGGCGCGCCUAACACAUGCAAGUCGAGCGAUGAAAUUUUAACCGAUCUCUUCGGAGAGAAGAUAAAAUGGAUUAGCGGCGGACGGGUGAGUAACACGUGAGAAACCUGCCUUUCACAAGGGGAUAGCCUCGGGAAACCGGGAUUAAUACCCUAUGACACAUUUCCUUCGCAUGGAAGAAAUGUUAAAACUCCGGUGGUGAAAGAUGGUCUCGCGCCUGAUUAGCUAGUUGGUGGGGUAACGGCCCACCAAGGCCAUGAUCAGUAACCGGCCUGAGAGGGUGAACGGUCACAUUGGAACUGAGACACGGUCCAAACUCCUACGGGAGGCAGCAGUGGGGAAUAUUGCACAAUGGAGGAAACUCUGAUGCAGCGACGCCGCGUGAGCGAUGAAGGCUUUCGAGUCGUAAAGCUCUGUCCUAUGGGAAGAUAUGACGGUACCAUAGGAGGAAGCCCCGGCUAACUACGUG